AGGAAGCAUCUUCACCCGGAAGUGGUGAUGAACAAGCUUCAUUUCCACCACCGCCAACACAACCACCUCCAAACCUUGAAGGUUUUAUGAGAUUUGUUAGAAACAAUACGUAAAUUAUGAUGUAACUUGUAUAUUAGCAUGUCUUGUUUUAGUUUUUUUUCUUUUAAUAGUGGUAUUAGUACCAUAUUGUGCUCAUUCCAUUGGGGGAAGGAAGACUAAGAAA
rnacentral:lncRNA from 1 species